rnacentral:rRNA from 1 species
UACGGAGGGUGCAAGCGUUAUCCGGAUUUACUGGGUUUAAAGGGUGCGUAGGUGGACAAGAAAGUCAGUGGUGAAAUCUUCGAGCUUAACUCGGAAACUGCCAUUGAUACUAUUUGUCUUGAAUACUUUGGAGGUAAGCGGAAUAUGUCAUGUAGCGGUGAAAUGCUUAGAUAUGACAUAGAACACCAAUUGCGAAGGCAGCUUACUACACAGUUAUUGACACUGAGGCACGAAAGCGUGGGGAUCAAACAGG